AUGAAUAUCCUAGCCUAGAACUGUCGAGGACUGGGGUUGGACUCGACAGUAGGCGAAUUACGAGACCUGGUAAGGUCCUACAACCCAGCGGUGGUGUUCUUAUCUGAAACAAAGAAGAGGUCACGAGCGAUGCAGAAAAUACAAUGGAGCCUAGGCUUCAAUAAGGGGGUGGCGGUGGAUUGUGACGGGAAAAGCGGAGGUUUAUCACUAUGGUGGAGAGACUAUCUGGAUGUUACGGUAAGGCCUUGGAGCCAGUACUACAUUGAUGCAGAAAUAGUGGCAGAUGGGAACACUUUUAGAUUCACUGGAAUCUAUGGUGAACCAUGCGUGGAAAAGAGACAGAGAACUUGGGAGGUUAUCCGAUACCUGCGCCGACAAGAUGAUCUACCUUGA
rnacentral:rRNA from 1 species